UUAGCUGUGUUUUUGUUUUUUGUUGUGCUUUGAGUUAGUUCGAUGCAAUGCAGUGAAUCAAACGAAGGAAAGGUUGAUAUUUGCACAGCUCAUAUUUCGGCAUGGCGACAGAAUUAUUUGGAAAGCUUAUAACAAUGACCUCUUCAAAGACAAAGUUCAUUGGCCACAGGGUUUCGGUCAGUUAACGAAUUUAGGAAAGCAACAACAGUAUGAAGUGGGGAAAUACUUCCGUCGACGUUAUGCAAAGCUCCUUGGAGACGGUUCUUAUUCACCAGACAAAGUAUUCACUGUAUCGUCCGAACUUGAUCGAACUAUAAACUCCGCUUCUUUAGUGUUGACCGGUUUAUUUCCCACACAAAACAAUCGAAUUUGGAAUCAAGAAUUGGGCAGAAUUUGGGAUCCAAUUCCAAUAUAUAUUGUACCGAGAUCAAGAGAUUAUCUCAUAAUUGUUGAAGGGAUGUCCACGGUUCGGAAAAGCUCUGAGAGAAUAUCAGAAAUCUCCAAAAGUGCAAGCAUUAAUGGAAAGGAAUCGAGAAUUAUUUGGAUAUUUAGAAACUCAUACCGGUCAACCAAUUCGCAGCAUAGAACAAUUGAAGGAUUUACACGGGACACUUGAAGUCGAGCAACUCAUGAACAGAACGUAUACUAUUUUCUCAAUUUUGGUCAUUUCUUCUGACAAAUAUUCGAAUUAAUAAAAUUUCAUUAUUGGUCGUAAUUUUAGCCUUGAAGUUUUCGAUCUACACAUUCCGCCAUAUUCAUCCGGUCUUCUCUUCGAAUUGUAUGAAACGCAUUUUUUUACGUACAAUUUUAUAGAAAUUCAACAGCAGAACAUCUGAAUCUGAAUCCAAUAAAUAUUCCAAAUUGUGGUACAAAAUGUCCACUCAAUCAAUUUUAUGAAUUAUGUAAAGAUAUUUUGCCUGUAGACUUUGAAUCAGAGUGUCAAUUGUCGAUUGAGUAAUAAUGUUUAGACCAAAACAACGAAAGAUGUUUUUUAUAUUGUAAACUUUUAAUAUGACACGAUCAAUAAAAUAUACUUUGUGCUUUGAACAUUCUA